UAAACAUGCAUCCGGCGGUGUGUUGGUGGCGCCGCAUUGCUUGGCGCGGAGCCUGCGCCCUUCCUUCUGGUACAUUCCCCGACGCAAUCCGACCCCGUUCGCACCAGCAAAGCUUUCCUCCUAACUCAACGUCAACACGUUGUCAUUCUUCGUUUUUUGCGGCAACGGACGUGCAGCGUUUUUGCGGCGGUCAUCUUUCCAGUGUUGGCGACAGCAAAUUGCUACCUUCAGCUUCGCUUUCGCGUGUCGGGCAGCUUUCGGGGCGAGAAUUUUCCAGCAGCAAUAAAGCCACGCAUAAAAUGACGGCCAGCAAGUACCAGAUUGCGGAACGUGGCGCUCCCAACUCCACCGACUACCGGGUUUAUUUCAAGAACGAAAACGGACAGUCCAUUUCACCUCUGCAUGACAUUCCACUGUACGCGAACGAUGAGCGAACCGUGUACAACAUGGUGGUGGAGGUGCCCCGCUGGACGAACGCCAAGAUGGAAAUCAGCUUGGGCGAGGGCCUGAACCCGAUCAAGCAGGACGUGAAGAAGGGCAAGCUGCGGUUCGUCGCCAACUGCUUCCCGCACCACGGCUACAUCUGGAACUACGGUGCGUUCCCGCAGACCUGGGAGAACCCGGACCACCUGGACGCGGACACCGGCUGCAAGGGCGAUAACGAUCCCAUCGAUGUGCUCGAGAUUGGCUCGCGCAUUGCCAAGCGGGGCGAGGUGUUGCAGGUGAAAAUACUCGGCACGAUCGCACUGAUCGACGAGGGCGAAACGGACUGGAAGAUUAUCACGAUCAACGUGAACGACCCGCUGGCCGAUCAGGUGAACGAUAUCGGCGACGUGGAGACGGUGUUCCCCGGGCUGCUGCGCGCCUCGGUCGAGUGGUUCAAGAUCUACAAGAUCCCGGACGGCAAGCCGGAGAAUCAGUUCGCGUUCAACGGCGACGCGAAGGAUGCCGCAUUCGCCACCAAGACGGUCGCUGAGACGCACCGGUUUUGGCAGCAGCUGGUUAACAAGGAGGUUGACAACAAUGGCAUCUCAUGCCUAAACACGACCGUCGACGGUUCGCCGUAUCUGGUGGCUAAUGAUGCAGCAGAUGAGGUGUUUGCCAAGAGUGCGACCGGUGGUAAUCCCGAGCCCGUCAGUGAAGCACUUCACAAAUGGCACUUCGGGUCGGAAAACAGCUAUUCAAAGCUGUAAGAACCGGUGUGUGUUGUAGCUAGCUUUCGCCCGGCAAUGCUGAACGUGCUCUAGAUUUGACAAAUGGCACUACAUUACGCUGAAGUAAACGAUCGAGAACGAUUUGAGCGUUGAAGACAACUGCACACAUUCGAUUGUAGGUGGAGAUGUUGUUUUAAUACCUUCGUAAAGUGGAAGCUAGCGAGAUUUUUUAAUUAAAAUUAUUCUUCAGUACAGCAGUCUAAAGCUCGCGGUUAAUUUGGUAGGUGUUAUAUUUAUUUAUUGUAAACUGCACACGAUAAAACAUUUGCUCGCAGCGAUACGGUUCGGAAAAGGUUGAUGCAUUUAAUAAAAGUGAAAUUAACUGAAGGAUCCAAUA